rnacentral:lncRNA from 1 species
CUCUAAGUCAGAAAUGUGCUGAGUUGACGUCCCAUGGCAGGACAAAAAUCAAGAUCUCUAGCGAUGGUCCAGAGCCAGGGGAUGACCUUGGGAUCUUCAGUGUGUGACCAAGCCCUAAGUACCCUGCUUUAGCCACCUUCAUGGCCAUUGGAACAAAAUGUUUUCAUCUGCCCGUUUCACUAAGGUCCCCAAACACUAAUACAUUGUUGGGGGAGUUGUGAUCCAAGCAUCCUGGAGAGUAAUUUGGAAUUGUGCC